rnacentral:siRNA from 1 species
UGUGAUGCGGUUAUUGAGGAUC